GCGCGAUUAGCUCAGCGGGGAGAGCGCUUCCCUGACACGGAAGAGGUCACUGGUUCAAUCCCAGUAUCGCGCA
rnacentral:tRNA from 1 species